rnacentral:rRNA from 1 species
UAGGGAAUCUUCCACAAUGGACGCAAGUCUGAUGGGGCAACGCCGCGUGAGUGAAGAAGGGUUUCGGCUCGUAAAGCUCUGUUGUUAAAGAAGAACGUGGGUAAGAGUAACUGUUUACCCAGUGACGUAUUUAACCAGAAAGCCACGGCUAACUACGUGCCGG